AUCAAAAUCAGGCCUAUUCAUAUUCAGUUACAAAGUAACGAAAUAAAAAUAUAUGGAAUUUCCAAUUAUCACAUCUAGACAUUUCAUAUUCAAAGUUUAACAUACCACAUCAUAUAAGCCCUUAUACAACUAACAAAAUUAAAUCUUAUGAUUACAUAUCCAUAAAUAAAUUCAAGCAGUGUUACUCCCUUUAUAGACCUCCCUCGAAUAAAAAUAGUGUCGUAAAU
rnacentral:lncRNA from 1 species